CCCCGCGACUUGGACCCUGCCCGGGCAGAAGGCUCUGCAACCAAGCUCUGCUGAAAUCUUUUGGUGCUAUUUUGCUGGAGAAGGAAGAACAAGCAGCUCCAGGAAGGAAUCAAAGUAGCUGUUGACAGAUUCAAAGCUGCCCCGGAUGUGCCGAAGGCCCCAGUCUGAAUAGGACUCCUCUGCGUCCGGGCUGGAGUCGCUCUGAGCCAGGCCACCCCCCAGGCUGAGCCACAAAACCAUGAAGCCGGUGGCCACCUUCAUCCUGCAGCCAGCUUAACAGGCUGACGGUUUUGAAGCUGUAAAAAUGUCCAAAUCAAGGCAUCAUCGAGACAGUGCUUUCUUCCCAAAGACCAGCUGCCGACGAUCCUUGACUCCUCUGCCACACGGU